UGCAGUCGAGCGGAACGAAGAGGUGCUUGCACCUCUGGCGUCGAGCGGCGGACGGGUGAGUAAUGCUUGGGAAUAUGCCUUAUGGUGGGGGACAACAGUUGGAAACGACUGCUAAUACCGCAUGAUGUCUACGGACCAAAGUGGGGGACCUUCGGGCCUCACGCCAUAAGAUUAGCCCAAGUGGGAUUAGCUAGUUGGUGAGGUAAUGGCUCACCAAGGCGACGAUCCCUAGCUGGUUUGAGAGGAUGAUCAGCCACACUGGGACUGAGACACGGCCCAGACUCCUACGGGAGGCAGCAGUGGGGAAUAUUGCACAAUGGGCGCAAGCCUGAUGCAGCCAUGCCGCGUGUGUGAAGAAGGCCUUCGGGUUGUAAAGCACUUUCAGUAAGGAGGAAAGGUUAAGUGUUAAUAGCGCUUAGCUGUGACGUUACUUACAGAAGAAGCACCGGCUAACUCCGUGCCAGCAGCCGCGGUAAUACGGAGGGUGCGAGCGUUAAUCGGAAUUACUGGGCGUAAAGCGCACGCAGGCGGUUUGUUAAGCGAGAUGUGAAAGCCCCGGGCUCAACCUGGGAACUGCAUUUCGAACUGGCAAACUAGAGUGUGAUAGAGGGUGGUAGAAUUUCAGGUGUAGCGGUGAAAUGCGUAGAGAUCUGAAGGAAUACCGAU
rnacentral:rRNA from 1 species